ACGAACGCUGGCGGCGUGCUUAACACAUGCAAGUCGAACGGAAAGGCCCUGCUUUUGUGGGGUGCUCGAGUGGCGAACGGGUGAGUAACACGUGAGUAACCUGCCCUUGACUUUGGGAUAACUUCAGGAAACUGGGGCUAAUACCGGAUAGGAGCUCCUGCUGCAUGGUGGGGGUUGGAAAGUUUCGGCGGUUGGGGAUGGACUCGCGGCUUAUCAGCUUGUUGGUGGGGUAGUGGCUUACCAAGGCUUUGACGGGUAGCCGGCCUGAGAGGGUGACCGGCCACAUUGGGACUGAGAUACGGCCCAGACUCCUACGGGAGGCAGCAGUGGGGAAUAUUGCACAAUGGGCGGAAGCCUGAUGCAGCAACGCCGCGUGCGGGAUGACGGCCUUCGGGUUGUAAACCGCUUUCGCCUGUGACGAAGCGGGAGUGACGGUAAUGGGUAAAGAAGCACCGGCUAACUACGUG
rnacentral:rRNA from 1 species